rnacentral:lncRNA from 1 species
GUAAAACUUGCCAGAUGCUGCUGAUGAGGGCUGGUUUAUGAGGAUGCUUAUCAAUGGCCCGAGGAGAGAAAUAUGCAUGGCUGUAGCUUUUGAAGAUGAAACAAAAGGCUGAUACUAAAAAUUGAGUUUGUCCAGUAAACCUGUCUGUGGCCUGAAGGAAAGGGAGACUUAUUCCAGUGGUUGCUUAGUAAGUGAAUGGACAUUUAUGAAUCAAAUAAAUCAACACCACCCAUGGCAACCUGCCCCAGAAAUACCUGCUGAGGAGAGAUGGAUGAACACAGCAUGAGGAAAAAGUUAUCUGAGAAUGGCCUUAAUACCUUUUCCUGGCCUUCCUUCAUUGCUGCUGCUGCUGCUUCUUUUGAUCAAAAUUGCUCUGUGUUCUCAGUGACUGUAAAUCUGAAAGAGGAAGUGUUUUUAGGAGACAGAAUAGACGUGCAUCACCCUCUUUGGU